rnacentral:rRNA from 1 species
UGUCCCAGCCGCCGCGGUACUACUGAGGGUGCAAGCGUUAAUCGGAAUAACUGGGCGUAAAGCGCACGCAGGCGGUCGGAUAAGUCAGAUGUGAAAGCCCCGGGCUCAACCUGGGAACUGCAUUUGAAACUGUCCGACUAGAGUCUUGUAGAGGGGGGUAGAAUUCCAGGUGUAGCGGUGAAAUGCGUAGAGAUCUGGAGGAAUACCGGUGGCGAAGGCGGCCCCCUGGACAGAGACUGACGCUCAGGUGCGAAAGCGUGGGGAGCAAACAGGAUUAGAUACCCUGGUAGUCCACGCUGUAAACGAUGUCAACUUGGAGUCUGUGCCAUUGAGCGUGGGCUCCGAAGCUAACGCGAUAAGUUGACCGCCUGGGGAGUACGGCCGCAAGGUUAAAACUCAAAUGAAUUGACGGGGGCCCGCACAAGCGGUGGAGCAUGUGGUUUAAUUCGAUGCACCGCGAAGAACCUUACCUG